UGCUGGUGCCGUGGGGAGUGCCUGGCAGCCCCGGGGGUUUCGGGACGAGCCGGAGGUGCAGGGCAGAUGCGGAGAAGCCCCGAGGCCACGGAUGCCUCCCCACGCCGCCGAGGGCCGGAGACCCUCGCUAAUGGUUGGGGUUUUCCACCGAAGCCUUCCCAGCGUGACCCCAAACCGCUUUUCCUGCCUCCUCCUGGGGAGGAGAACGGCUCCACGCAGCGAAGCUCACGGGGGCCCUGCCGAGCAUCCUCCCCCCGACCCCGGGGGCUUCUCCUUCGGGGACCCCGGGGCAGGGGAGGGGGUCCGGCCGAGCCCACCCGCGGGACGCAGCGGCUCGGCUCUGCCCACCGUGCAUCAGAACAGUGAUCUCGCUGUGGGUUUCUCCGUGUUCCCUUCCCCAGAAAACAUCGGGUCCUAUGAAAACUGGGUUGGACUCCUGGAAAAAGCAGUUCGCCCAGGGCAGCUGCUGUUCCUGCGCGGGACGGGCUUGUUCCCAGCCGCGUCCCUGCCGUCACCGGCCACUGCUGGCCACUGCAAAGCCGCUCUGGCCCUGGGAGAUGCCGGGAAUGAAGGUUUUCUGCCGCAUUUUGCACUCCCUAAUGCUUUCCUGGUCUUGCCGUAG
rnacentral:lncRNA from 1 species